rnacentral:rRNA from 1 species
GACAGAGGUGCCGAGCGUUAGGCGGAAUCACUGGGCUUAAAGCGUGUGUAGGCGGGUCCGUAAGUACCUUGUGAAAUCCCACGGCUCAACCGUGGAACUGCUUGGUAUACUGCGGGUCUGAGCCACCUAGGGGCAAGCGGAACAAACGGUGGAGCGGUGAAAUGCGUAGAUAUCGGGAGGAACACCUAUUGCGAAGGCAGCUCGCUGGGACGCAACUGACGCUGAGACGCGAAAGCGUGGGGAGCAAACAGG